GCUAGGUGUGGUGGUGCAUGCCUGUAAUCCCAGUGACUUGGGAGGCUGAGGCGAGAGGAUUGCAAAUUCGAGGCCAGCUUCAGCAACUUAGUGAAAGGCUAAGUAACUUAGUGAGACCUUAUCUCAA
rnacentral:sRNA from 1 species